rnacentral:lncRNA from 1 species
GUGAACCUAAAAACCUGAGGGUGUAUGUUGGUUUCGUUUUUCUAUGAAAGAUGGAACCAGGAGCGAGGCUCCUGUUGAUCGGGGGAAAAUUCAGCCUUGGGUGUCCAUUUGUUUUUUCUUGUCUGGGUUAGGCACCUAUCUGUUCUCCCCAGCAGUUGAUGCGAAAUGGGAUCUGAAGUUAUGUGUCUUGCUUGCUUCUAGAAGUAUAAGGUGACGGAAAGUUACGUAUAUCUGGCUAGUGAAUUCAGCAUACCAAGAAUUUGUUGAAAUUAUACUCCCUCUGUUCCAUGUUCCAUAUUAAGUGCCGGUCACAAAUAUCGUCGAUGUAAAGGCCCCCCUCGCAAUCGUUGGCACAAAUACUAAUCAAGACUUGUUAGCCUAAAAGGAGCAUGCACUACAUAACUAUCUGGUGUUCCAGUUUAAACGUCAGUAGCCCGUUUAGCCAAGAAUCCACGUGGUGAGUCGAUGGAUUUUUUCUAGUUGAGCGAAAGCCUGGGAUCCAUUUACAACUAGUAAAAUUGUGCAUCAUCGGGCAUCACAGACCCGGAGUAAAGUAAGCAAGAGCAUACGAGGGAGGCGAGGAUACCUGUGCCUGGGCCGGUCUGGUACCCCUGGGAGUAAUACGGGUCGGCGGGCGCGUAGGGCUGCUGCUGCUGGUGGUN